rnacentral:rRNA from 1 species
GAUGAACGCUGGCGGCGUGCCUAAUACAUGCAAGUCGAGCGAACGGACGAGAAGCUUGCGUCUCUGAUGUUAGCGGCGGACGGGUGAGUAACACGUGGAUAACCUACCUAUAAGACUGGGAUAACUUCGGGAAACCGGAGCUAAUACCGGAUAAUAUUUUGAACCGCAUGGAUCAAAAGUGAAAGACGGUCUUGCUGUCACUUAUAGCUGGAUCCGCGCUGCAUUAGCUAGUUGGUAAGGUAACGGCUUACCAAGGCAACGAUGCAUAGCCGACCUGAGAGGGUGAUCGGCCACACUGGAACUGAGACACGGUCCAGACUCCUACGGGAGGCAGCAGUAGGGAAUAUUCGGCAAUGGGCGAAAGCCUGACGGAGCAACGCCGCGUGAGUGAUGAAGGUCUUCGGAUCGUAAAACUCUGUUAUUAGGGAAGAAAAUAUGUGUGAGUAACUGUGCACAUCUUGACGGUACCUAAUCAGAAAGCCACGGCUAACUACGUG